rnacentral:rRNA from 1 species
GACAGAGGGUGCAAACGUUGUUCGGAAUUACUGGGCGUAAAGCGAGUGUAGGCGGUUUGGUAAGUCGGAUGUGAAAGCCCCCGGGCUCAACCCGGGAAGUGCACUCGAUACUGCCAAGCUAGAGUAUCGGAGAGGUUGGUGGAAUUCUCGGUGUAGAGGUGAAAAUUCGUAGAUAUCGAGAGGAACACCGGUGGCGAAGGCGGCCAACUGGACGAAUACUGACGCUGAGACUCGAAAGCGUGGGGAGCAAACAGG